AAUCAACGCUGGCGGCGUGCUUAACACAUGCAAGUCGAGCGGUAAGGCCCUUUCGGGGGUACGACGAGCGGCGAACGGGUGAGUAACACGUGGGUGACCUGCCCUCAGCUCUGGGAUAAGCCUGGGAAACCGGGGUCUAAUACUGGAUAUGACUCCAUGACGCAUGUUGUGGGGUGGAAAGCCUUGUGCGGCUGAGGAUGGGCCCGCGGCCUAUCAG
rnacentral:rRNA from 1 species